rnacentral:tRNA from 1 species
GCACCAGUAGCUCAGUGGAUAGAGCGUUGGCCUCCGGAGCCAAAGGUCGAAGGUUCGAAUCCUUUCUGGUGUA